rnacentral:rRNA from 1 species
UACGAAGGGGGCUAGCGUUGUUCGGAAUCACUGGGCGUAAAGCGCACGUAGGCGGAUCUUUAAGUCAGGGGUGAAAUCCCGAGGCUCGACCUCGGAACUGCCUUUGAUACUGGGGAUCUCGAGUCCGGGAGAGGUGAGUGGAACUGCGAGUGUAGAGGUGAAAUUCGUAGAUAUUCGCAAGAACACCAGUGGCGAAGGCGGCUCACUGGCCCGGAACUGACGCUGAGGUGCGAAAGCGUGGGGAGCAAACAGG